rnacentral:rRNA from 1 species
AACGAACGCUGGCGGCAUGCCUAACACAUGCAAGUCGAACGAGACCUUCGGGUCUAUUGGCGCACGGGUUCGUAACGCGUGGGAACCUGCCCUUAUGUUCGGAAUAACUCCCCGAAAGGGGUGCUAAUACCGGAUAAUGUCUUCGGACCAAAGAUUUAUCGCCUUUGGAUGGGCCCGCGUUGGAUUAGCUAGUUGGUAGGGUAAAAGCCUACCAAGGCGACGAUCCAUAGCUGGUCUGAGAGGAUGAUCAGCCACACUGGGACUGAGACACGGCCCAGACUCCUACGGGAGGCAGCAGUGGGGAAUAUUGGACAAGGGGCGAAAGCCUGAUCCAGCAAUGCCGCGUGAGUGAUGAAGGCAUUAGGGUUGUAAAGCUCUUUUAACCGGGAUGAUAAUGACAGUACCGGGAGAAUAAGCGCCGGCUAACUACGUG